AGAGACUUAGGAUAGAACCUUUAGACCAAGAGCCUUCAAAGCUCUAAGCAGGAGUGAAAAUCUCCUAGUCUCUG
rnacentral:tRNA from 1 species